rnacentral:rRNA from 1 species
GGCCUAACACAUGCAAGUCGAGCGAACUGAUUAGAAGCUUGCUUCUAUGACGUUAGCGGCGGACGGGUGAGUAACACGUGGGCAACCUGCCUGUAAGACUGGGAUAACUUCGGGAAACCGAAGCUAAUACCGGAUAGGAUCUUCUCCUUCAUGGGAGAUGAUUGAAAGAUGGUUUCGGCUAUCACUUACAGAUGGGCCCGCGGUGCAUUAGCUAGUUGGUGAGGUAACGGCUCACCAAGGCAACGAUGCAUAGCCGACCUGAGAGGGUGAUCGGCCACACUGGGACUGAGACACGGCCCAGACUCCUACGGGAGGCAGCAGUAGGGAAUCUUCCGCAAUGGACGAAAGUCUGACGGAGCAACGCCGCGUGAGUGAUGAAGGCUUUCGGGUCGUAAAACUCUGUUGUUAGGGAAGAACAAGUACGAGAGUAACUGCUUGUACCUUGACGGUACCUAACCAGAAAGCCACGGCUAACUACGUGCCAGCAGCCGCGGUAAUACGUAGGUGGCAAGCGUUAUCCGGAAUUAUUGGGCGUAAAGCGCGCGCAGGCGGUUUCUUAAGUCUGAUGUGAAAGCCCACGGCUCAACCGUGGAGGGUCAUUGGAAACUGGGGAACUUGAGUGCAGAAGAGAAAAGCGGAAUUCCACGUGUAGCGGUGAAAUGCGUAGAGAUGUGGAGGAACACC